rnacentral:rRNA from 1 species
CUACGGGUGGCAGCAGUGAGGAAUAUUGCACAAUGGGGGGAACCCUGAUGCAGCAACGCCGCGUGGAGGAUGACGCAUUUCGGUGUGUAAACUCCUUUUAUAUGUCAAGAAAAUGACGGUAGCAUAUGAAUAAGCACCGGCUAACUCCGUGCCAGCAGCCGCGGUAAUACGGAGGGUGCAAGCGUUACUCGGAAUCACUGGGCGUAAAGGACGCGUAGGCGGGCUUGUAAGUCAGGUGUGAAAUCCUACAGCUUAACUGUAGAACUGCACUUGAAACUUCUAAUCUAGAGUAUGGGAGGGGGAGAUGGAAUUAGUGGUGUAGGGGUAAAAUCCGUAGAUAUCACUAGGAAUACCUAAAGCGAAGGCGAUCUCCUGGAACAUUACUGACGCUAAGGCGUGAAAGCGUGGGGAGCAAACAGGAUUAGAUACCCCUGUAGUC